CGAUGGCGAUGGCCAUGAGGCUGAAAGCGGCGAAAGCUCCCACCGUGGUCAGCAGCAUCUGGACGCCACGGUCACACCACACCAUGGUCCAAUAGUGCCUUUGCAAAAUCACCCUCCGAAUUGAUAUCUCCAUUAGGGAUGGAAGAAUGAAGGCAGGUAAGCUGAAAAGCAGAGCGAAGCCUCGUUCAGAAAAACUGAAUCAAGCAUUUAAAUUUAAUGAGGUUCAACAAAUUUCUCAUUUAAAAUAUAUGUUUGUACCUGUGUGCUUUGGGGCUUUGGCCGGGAAGGGAAAAUGAGAUACUGAAACAGCAGGAGAGAAGCCAUUUCCACAGCUUUUUAAACCAAUUGAGCCUUAAUUAAUAUUAUUUAUUUGUAUUGCCCACGGCCAGCUCUCCCAGUGAGGAGCAGGGGAGGCUGGAUGAGAUGUAGCCACGGCCACGCUGCUGCUCGGGGGCAGAAAUAGCCCCAUCCUUCCCACUCAGAACUGCAACAGGAGCAGGAUGGGGCAUCUGGUCUGGUGGGCUUGGAGCAUCCUCUGCCAGCAGAAAGGGGUACGCAGCUGCAGGGCUUUCCACCUCGUACAGCCCUAUUGGUUGCGUGAGAUAACAGCGCAUUAACAGAACUCAUUAACAAAGUCUUGGUCCUCUCCCCUCCCCCCCAGCAUUUUUGCAAAGAGAACUGCUGCUCCUGUUGCCCUGAGAGAAAUCUCAGGCUCUGAAAGGGUUACAGAGAGGCACCCAAGACAGGCAAUCAUUUUCUGCCCAAGCUAUCUUCUUUAGUUUAAAAAUGUUCUCUAUUCUUUUGAAAUGCAUGAAGUAGAUUGUGGGAGAGCUAAUAUUAUAUUCCACUACUGAGAGCUGGUGGAGUAUUUUGCAUUGAUGUCUGGCUCUAGUGAUUUUCUAAGGAUUUUGAAUUCAUUAAAUCCCACCAUUGAAUAAUCUCCAAUCGUGGCGGAAGGAAGGCAAAAGUGCUUAUGCUCCUCAGUAGCAAAAAAGCAUGUAUUCUUUCCUUAAAUGUGAAGGCUAUUUGACCCUCUGUAUGUCGUAACGGUUGCCCAUCAUGAAACAUUUGACUUGCAGACUUUGCUUAUGGCACAGCCUUAUGAUGCUGCCAUAGAGUUUCGCAGUGGAACAGCCUCGGCAGGGUGUUGUGCACCACAGUGGCAUCCUCCAUCCUCAGUGAAAAUUAAGACCCAGUUGUUCUAAGCUCAGAAAGAUACAGGAGCUCAUGACAAGGAGAAGAAAAAGCCCCACAUCUUCUCCCUGUAGUUUAGCUCCCCUCACCCCCACAGAUUUUACAUUGCAAGUGUCCAUGCCCAUAAAUGUAUUUUUCACAGGAGAAACAAAAACUUGAAGCAGAAAUGUUAUUUUGGAGGUGAAACUUUGGAUUGAACUGAAUUCAGUGAGAGCUGUCAUUAACGAAGUCUUACCCGAGAGACAGUGCUGCUAUCAGAAGGAGAGAAAGAACCACACCGUGUUACCAUUUGGGAUGACUGCUUCUGCUGCUAAAUGUCAGGCAUUGCAUUCAAUACACCAGGCUUUUUUUUUUUUUCUUUUAAAUUAUCAUCUAGAAAAGUAACACCAGAAUGCCUAGAAUUUCACUAAAAGAAACUUUUGGAAAUUGCUCAAGAAAAGCUCCAGGGAGUACUUUCUCAGAAUGAAAAUCAGUUAAACAGAGCUUUUGAUGUAGAUACAGCCUAAUGGCCUCCAAAGCCUGGAACAGGUAUCUCGUUCCCCUCGUCCUUUCCCAGCUUUUAGCCCUAUGCAUGUAAGAAUGACUUUCAGCAUCUAGCAACAUCCUAAAGCUAUGAGCACAUCAGUAUCGUUGGUUGUUGCCAUCUCCUACAGGUAGGUCUUUAUAUCUCUUCUAUCUAAUCUGAUACUGGUAUUAGGAAAUCAAUCAUCCUGAAGCAUUUCAUUUGGAUUAUGCUGCAUAUGAAGAACUGAAGAAACGGGAUUUGCUUCAGCGGAGCUUCAUGGGCACAAAGAUCUCCACUCCAGCAAAGAACCUUGCAGGAAGAUAGGACGUGGCAGAAGGUAUCAGUUAUGGCACAGGUAUGUGUAAGGAAGAAAGAUUAAAGUUGCUCAUGGAGCUAUAUUUUCAUAUGCUUUGGUUCAGAUGUUUCAGGUUAACAUGAUCUCCACUGAAUCACACUGGGAGAUUACUUCCAGAGCUACUUACAAAUGACACUGAGCUCAUAGAGAGGGUUUGUGGCAAAGCAACUGCUGAGUUCACUUCUGAGGCAUUGUGUGUAUGUGACCCAUUGACCCACCUAUUCCCUGUAUUACUCUUAACUGUGUAUUUCAAGGAGGUGGUGUCCUUCGUCUUGGAGGACCAUACUCUGCUUCCUCCAGCAUGGGAAGAUUGGCAGAAGUCACCAUCACAUUUCAUGGAGCUGAGUCUAGAGGAAGGUGAACUUGAGUUUUGUUUAAGAAGGCUGAAUUUCUUCUUUAGCCCUAUGAAAGAUCAUCUUAAGUCAGCAUCAGUAGUUUCAGCAUCCUCCAGAGCCACAGGAACGGUCGUCUUAAAGGAAGCCAGAUGCUGCUAUUGGAAAAGUAGCUGCCAUGGUUUGUCAUCCGAGCUCAGGAAUUGAUAUCCAAGAAUGAUAUGAUGAGACAGACUUGAUGACAGCACUGCUCUUUCUAUAAAUAAUUUGAAGAAAACCGUUUUUCAUUUUGAAAAAUGAAAAGACUCUUUUGCUACAGACUUGCACAGCAAACCAGAAAAUUAAAAAGGAUGGGCAUGCUGUGUUUGAAUGGGGCCAUCAAAAGAACAAAAUAUGUGCAGUUUAUGUAAAAUGUAUAGCAGCUCUCACGCAUUUUACUCUACCUAGGCUGUAUUUUUCCCAUAGUACCAAUAGUCACAAAACUCAUUAUCUUUCUGACAAUGGAGAAAUGGAAUAUCAGCCUUUUACUUUCUUGACCAUGUCAAAUGUCAGAGCAAUUUGUGAAUGCUUGUCCUUCAAAUGCUCAUCCCUCCUGCUAAGAUUAAAUAUCAGUAGUGCUCACAUUCAGCUACAGAAUGAACUCAUAUUGCACACAUCUCUCAGAUCUAAAGUUCACUGCGUCCAUUACCUGUGAUGUGAGUUUGCCUCCCAAGUCCCACCUCUUGUCCAUGUCCUAAUGGCUGAAAAUUCCGCUGCAGUGUUAGAUGCUGCGUUGAGGAUUAUCUGGAGCAGAAGGUAACAUGAUGGGUGGGGGUUUCUCAUAAGGUGUUAAGAAGAGUGACAAAGGGACUGGGAGAAAGAACGAGGAGUUAAUAGGGCAAGAGCCUCCAUUUUGUGGUCCAUUUCAGAGGACUUGGAGACAGCAUGCCAAUGGGAAGCUACCAGAAAUUUCU